rnacentral:lncRNA from 1 species
UGUUAGGUCCAAUCAGACGUAGAAGGGGGGUUGAAUACGUCGUACCAAUUUCUUCGAUUUAAUUUAAUUGCGGAUAAUCUGUUUCAGUCCAUGUUAAAUCAAUCGUAAAUAAAUAACUCCAGCAAGUCGGGGAAUAUUCUUGUAUUAGAAAUAAUCCUCGGGUGCUACAGAUUCCAACACAAGUGUCGGCUGCAGAGACUACAAUCACUCUAUUACAAACUCUCGAUAAAUAUGAUCUUCUAAUUUAACUCUCGAGAAUGUGUAUAGUGUGUGCACUUACAAAGUGUGUAGUUAGUUUCAAAUGAAACUAUCAACCUCUAUUUAUAGGCUUUCCAACAACUAACCAUGGUUAACGAGUUCGUCCUGGACGACUUGAGUUCGUCCUGGACGGAUUCGAUUAAUCAAAAUAAUUCUAACUCAAAUGUAUGCAUGAAGGAAGCGCAGGUUCUAUAUACAUAUAUAUAUAUAUAUAACAAAGUUGCGCUUUGAACAUAUAUAUAUAUGUAUAUAGAAAGUCAAACCAUGCGACAGUCAAUUCUUGCGCCUCACAAUGUCUUCAUAGCAGCCACUGUAGUUAUAGUACUUGGAGAAAAUCCAAGUAACCAAGGUUGCGCCUGGGAGAGUAUAUGUGUGGCGCCAACUUUGACUUCGAGUCAAAAGUUGCGCCUCACAGGGCAUCAGUAUGUUACUUAGAGUAUAAAUCCAAGUAAGUGAAUUGUCGCAACUGUUGACCAGUCAAAGGUUGCGCCUUUGACUUUGGUCAAAGGUUGCGCCUUUGAAGUUCCACUGUAUCCACUGUGUAGUAAUUUUACUUAGAAAACUUCUUGACACAAAUACCUUCAGCCUUUGACUUAGUCAAAUAUGGCGCCCAAUACUCCUUGUGUUCCCCUGUGUAAGUGUUGAGCACUUAGACAAAAUUGCAUUAUUAUAUAUAUAUAUUAUUAAUUGUUUAUUAAUUACCUGAAUUAAUUAAAUUCAGGUAAUUCACAAUUAACAUAUAUAUAUAUAUAAUAGUGAGUUCCUUGGCAGCAUAUUCUGGAGAGCUCGAUUGACUUGAUCAAUUAAUUCGUUGAUCGAAUCCACUGAAUGCUUUCGUACGUCCUGACGUCCUGUGCACUGGUCUGGUUCACGAACGACUCGAACUGAAAUAAUCCCUUGAAUUCUUUGCUUGAUAAUAUACUUGAUCAGUCAUUCCGGGUUAGAUGUUGCUUCGAU